rnacentral:rRNA from 1 species
UACGUAGGGCGCAAGCGUUGUCCGGAAUUAUUGGGCGUAAAGAGCUCGUAGGCGGCCUGUUGCGUCCGCUGUGAAAUCCCGAGGCUCAACCCCGGGCCUGCAGUGGAUACGGGCUGGCUAGAGGCAGGCAGGGGAGAACGGAAUUCCUGGUGUAGCGGUGAAAUGCGCAGAUAUCAGGAGGAACACCGGUGGCGAAGGCGGCUCACUGGCCCGGUACUGACGCUGAGGUGCGAAAGCGUGGGGAGCAAACAGG